rnacentral:rRNA from 1 species
UGUAAGCGUAUACCAAAGUUGUUGCAGUUAAAACGCUCGUAGUCGGAAUUUGGCAGUUCCGGAUGUGUGCACGUCGUGUGCGCACUUCGCGGGGAUUGCUUUUGUGGUCUUGCGUAGGAUGAGGCACUUUUAUUAGUGAACGUCCUCACGCAACCACUUUUUACUGUGAGAAAAUCAGAGUGCUCAAAGCAGGCAUUUGCCGUGAAUGUAUUAGCAUGGAAUAAUAGAAUAGGACUCGGUUCUAUUUUGUUGGUUUGUUGGGACUGAGUAAUGAUUAAGAGGGACAGUUGGGGGCAUUUGUAUUUCGGCGCUAGAGGUGAAAUUCUUAGAUUGCCGAAAGACAAACUGCUGCGAAAGCGUCUGCCAAGGAUGCUUUCAUUGA